rnacentral:rRNA from 1 species
UAGGGAAUCUUCGGCAAUGGGGGCAACCCUGACCGAGCAACGCCGCGUGAGUGAAGAAGGUUUUCGGAUCGUAAAGCUCUGUUGUAAGAGAAGAACGUGUGUGAGAGUGGAAAGUUCACACAGUGACGGUAACUUACCAGAAAGGGACGGCUAACUACGUACCAGCAGCCGCGGUAAUACGUAGGUCCCGAGCGUUGUCCGGAUUUAUUGGGCGUAAAGCGAGCGCAGGCGGUUUAAUAAGUCUGAAGUUAAAGGCAGUGGCUUAACCAUUGUUCGCUUUGGAAACUGUUAAACUUGAGUGCAGAAGGGGAGAGUGGAAUUCCAUGUGUAGCGGUGAAAUGCGUAGAUAUAUGGAGGAACACCGGUGGCGAAAGCGGCUCUCUGGUCUGUAACUGACGCUGAGGCUCGAAAGCGUGGGGAGCAAACAGG